CUCAGAGCGAGGAAGACGAUGACAGCAAAGACGAGAGUGAGCAAAUAAGGAGAACGAGAGCAGAAGGAGGAUCAAUUUUCCUCACAAAGACGGAGAUGGAGUCUGGCUGUUUUUUUUCUUCUGUCCUUCACUGAUGUGCCACCUCUCCAAUCAGCAGCCAAGGAGUGUGAUGCAGAAUGACUGAUGUACAACCGCACUGUACUUGAUGAUGAUGCCGUCCACCUGCUCCCACCUGCAUCAGAGCUGGAUGCUGCUGCAGGUACAGCACCUGGCUCCGAGAGAGGCCGUCCUACAGACACCACUCUUCUAUAAUCAUGACCAUUACAGAAAUCUGAGCAUAACAGAUGUCAGAUUUCAGACUUCAGUUAGUGCUGGGCAAAGACAAAUUUUAAGAUCAUCUGGCAUUUUUCACACAGGGUCAUUUAAUUAAAGUUGUUAAAGAGAGAAAAUAAAAAGUCUCUGAGCUAAUGAGCUCAUUAACAUCUACUGUUCUCAUCAUUUAGAUCAUUCGUUCAGAAUUUUUAUUCGGUCUACAACUACAAAC